AUGGCAGAGGCUGUUGUUGGGCAGCUGGUGGUCUCCCUCGGUGCGGCGCUGGCGAAAGAGACAGCUAUCUUUGGCGGGGCACUGCUCAGCAAGGAAGCCGCCGCCAUCAGGGGCCUCUUCGGCAAGAUCCGCGACUCCAAGGCGGAGCUGGAGAGCAUGCAGGCCUACCUGCAGGAGGCGGAGCGGUUCAAGGACACUGACAAGACCACAGCCAUCUUCGUCGGCGAGGUCAGGGGCCUAGCCUUCCAGAUCGAGGAUGUCAUUGACGAGUUCACCUACAAGCUGGAGGACUGCAGGCAUGGAGGGUUUGCGGGCAAGAUGAAGAAGAGGCUCAAGCAUAUCAAGACCUGGCGCCGCCUAGCAGCCAAGCUCCAAGAAAUCGAUGUCAAGCUAAAAGAUGCCAAGAGGAGGAAGCAGGAUUACGCAGUCGUUGCAGGAACCGGCGGAUCUGCUUUUGCUGCCAGAUCGACAAGCCGAGGUCAAGCUCUGCACUUCACCAGGGAUGAGGACCUUGUGGGAAUCGAGGAGAACAAAGAGAAGUUGAUACGGUGGCUGACCGUCAGCGGUGGUAGUGGUCAUGGUCUGGAGCAGAACAACUGCAAAGUCACCACGGUGUGGGGGAUGCCUGGUGUUGGUAAAACCACUCUGGUUGCUCAUGUGUACAACACUGUAAAAGUGGAUUUCGACGCGGCGGCGUGGGUAACUGUGUCGGAGAGUUACCAUAUUGAGGAUCUGCUGAAGAAGAUUGCCGCCCAGUUCGGCAUCACAGUCGACGUCGCCGACAUUGAGAUGAGAGACCUAGCAGAGUCCAUCCAUGAUUACCUUCAAGGUAAAAAGUUCAUUAUGGUCUUGGAUGAUGUUUGGGCUGCACGCGUGUGGUUGGAGAUAAGGAAUGUCUUCCCAACGUCUAACUUUACCAGCCGAUUUGUUAUCACAUCAAGAAAGCAUGAGGUGUCACUGUUGGCAACUAGGGAGUCUGCAAUUCACUUGGAACCGCUACAAGAACAUCACUCCUGGCUGUUAUUUUGUAAUGGAGCCUUUUGGAAUACUGAUGACAAAGAGUGCCCGGUGGAGCUGCAGGAAUUGGCUCGUAAGUUCAUAACAAAGUGUCAAGGCUUGCCUAUUGCUAUUGCUUGCAUUGGCCGCCUACUCUCCUUGAAACCCCCAACUUCUGCUGAAUGGGAGGAUGUGUACAGUGGUUUGGAUUCACAAUUGGCGAAAGAUGUGAUCCCCGAUGCUCAUAUGAUCCUAAAGUUCAGCUUGGAGGACCUUCCAUAUGAUUUGAAGAAUUGUUUCCUACACUGUGCAUUGUCUCCAGAAGAUUAUGUAUUAAAGAGGAGGAAGACAAUGAGGCUCUGGAUCGCUGCGGGGUUUAUCAGGGAAAAAGAUGAGAGCAAAACAUUGGAGGAAGUGGCGGAGGGAUACUUGGCUGAGCUUGUGAACCGAAGCCUUUUACAGGUAGUAGAAAGGAAUUAUGCCGGACGACUGAAAUACUGCAGGAUGCAUGAUGUCAUACGCCUUCUUGCCCUCAACAAAGCCAAGGAGGAAUGCUUCGGUAAAAUUUAUAAUGGCUCUGCUACUAGAGCAUUCUCUGUAGAGGGUGCACGUCGCGUAUCGGUCCAUGGGGGAAAUCUUGAACAACUGAGCCGAUCUGGCACAACACAUCUCCGUGCACUCUAUGUAUUUGAGAGGUAUAUCGAGGUCGAUUUGCUGAAGACUAUCCUAACAUCUUCGAAACUGCUGACGAUGUUGGAUCUUCAAGGUACCUGUAUCAAAAUGCUGCCCAGUGAGGUAUUCAACUUGUUUAAUCUGCGUUAUUUGGGUCUUAGAGAUACUGGGAUGGAAAGCCUGCCUGAAGCAGUAGGGAGGUUGCAAAACCUGGAAGUCUUGGAUGCUUCCAAAUCUAAGUUGACGUAUUUGCCAAACAGUGUUGUAAAACUUAAGAAGCUGAGAUACCUGUAUGCGUGGUCUGUGGUUGCAUCUGAGGAAUUUGAAAUUGGAAAUCUAGGUGGAGUCAAGGUGCCUAAUGGCAUACAACAGUUGGCAGGACUGCAGGCUCUUCAGUCUGUCCAAGCCACUCCAGAGUUUCUGCUUGAAGUUGCAGCUCUGACAGAGCUAAGAACAUUCGGUGUCUGCAACGUGAGAAGUGAAAACUCUGCUUGCUUGAGUAACACUAUCACCAAAAUGAGCCAUCUUGUUCAUCUCGAAAUUGUUGCUGCAACUGAGAAUGAGCUGCUGCAGUUUGAAGGUCUAUAUUUACCUCCAACCCUUUCUUCGCUUGGUUUAGCAGGGCAGCUAGAAAAAACAUCGAUACCUCAGCUUUUCUCUUCUUGGUCACACCUUGAUAGCCUUACUCGAUUGCACCUGGCAUUCUCCAAUAUUGAUGAGCAAACCUUUUCCUGUCUGCGUAUGUUACGUGGUCUACACUUUCUUGAGGUAAUGAAGGCUUUUGAAGGGACGAGGUUGGAAUUUUGCGCAGGGUCAUUUCCAAAACUUCGAUUUCUACAUAUAUGGGGCGCAGCACAACUCAACCAAGUUAGAAUAGAAGAGAGUGCGCUAAAAAUCCUUGCUGAGGUAUGGUUCACAGACUGUCCUGAGCUAAAGUUUCUUCCAGAUGGCAUUGAACACCUUGCAGCCCUUGAGAAAUUAAUUCUGAAAGACACGUCAGAAGAGCUGAUAAAGAAGCUCGGGCAGAUGAGAGAUUCAGAUGAAUACGGUGAAGAUGUAAUGAAGAUUAGCCACAUAAGGAAUGUUACAGUUGCACUGAGCCAUAAAGGAUUUGAGGAAAGAAUUAGGUGA
rnacentral:rRNA from 1 species